AACGAACGCUUUCGGGGUGGAUAAGACAUGCAAGUCGAACGAGAGAAUUGCUAGCUUGCUAAUAAUUCUCUAGUGGCGCACGGUUGAGUAACACGUGAGUAACCUGCCCCCAAGAGUGGGAUAGCCCCGGGAAACUGGGAUUAAUACCGCAUAAAAUCGCAAGAUUAAAGCAGCAAUGCGCUGGGGGAUGGGCUCGCGUCCUAUUAGUUAGUUGGUGAGGUAACGGCUCACCAAGGCGAUGACGGGUAGCCGGUCAGAGAGGAUGUCCGGCCACACUGGAACUGAGACACGGUCCAGACACCUGCGGGUGGCAGCAGUCAAGAAUCAUUCAGGGUGGGGGAAACCCUGGUGGUGCGACGCCGCGUGGGGGAAUGAAGGUCUUCGGAUUGUAAACCCCUGUCGUGUGGGAACAAAUUAAAAAGAUACUACCACAAGAGGAAGAGACGGUUUUCUCUGUGCCCACAGCCGCGGUAAUACAGAGGUCUCAGGCGUUGUUCAGAAUCACUGGGCAGUAAAGCGUGCGUAGGCGGUUUCAUAAAGUGUUGUGUGAAGGGGGGGGGCCCCACCCCCGGNCUGCNCCUGNUNCUGCGNGUCUNGNGUNNUGGNGGGGGNCCCGGNNUUCUCGGUGUNGCCGUGNNUUGCGUUGUUNUCGUGAGGNNCCCUCGUGGCCCCGGCGGGUUCCUGGUCCUUNUCUGNCGCUGUGGCCCGUUGGCCNGGGGCGCGCAAAAGAUUCCUUUCCCCUGUNGUCCUGGCNGUNNNCGCCCCUUUAAGGGUGUGCGGGGAAUCGACCCCCUGCGUGCCGGAGCUAACGCGU
rnacentral:rRNA from 1 species